UUUAGUUCCAAAUCAUUCAUCAAAUCAAUCUCUCCUCGAACAAAAUUGAAGUUGUACGUUGACAAUACCCCCUCGAGAUUCUAUCAGCAACAAUUCGAUUGUUCUCAAGCUGCCAUGGAAUGGUGUCCUCAAGCUGCCAUGGAAGCUUACUUGCACACUCUUCAGCUGGUAAUUUUCUAACACGACUUCAUUUAUGCAAAAUAUUUUCUCCUUAGUAAAUUGUACCUGUUGGGCGUAAAUAAUCCCAACAACAUAUAUAUUCAUAGCGAGUCCCAAAAGAGAUGUCAUGCACAUACUUUUAGGGUUACGUGCAAUUUACUAGUAGCUCGACAACAUACCUCUCUUAAAUCGACCACAGCACUCGUAUCCAAUUUUUUAAUAAAGUUGUUCGUUUUCCUAAAUUGUUUUAGUAGUUUAGGGUGCAAUGUAAGAGUAUGAGUAUGAAUUGAAAGAGCCGAGUAGUAUAAAUCUUUUGAAUGGAAUAGUCCUGUUGAUAAGCCUAGUGAAAUCCUUUUUCUUGUAGGAUUAUAAGUACAAGUCCUUGUUGUUGAGGGACUUAUCUCUGUACUUUAUCUUUUAAGGGUCACUUGUAAUAUGGAUUACUUGUUCGAGUUCUAUAAGAAUUCUAAUAGGGGAAUGAUUAGAACGACCAUAUAUAUGUAUAUGAUCAUAAUCACUGCUCUUGCAAUGUCUGCUUCUUUUGUACCAAAUACCUAUUGUUUGGAAAGCACUUGUGUUUGCUAAAGAGGAGAAGGUUAUUAGAUCAACCAGCUGCGAUGGCUUCGUCUUCCAUAUCGGGUUCCGCAGGUGAGGCUCUGUGAUCACUCUUAUAAAUUGGAGAAGUUCAUGUCUGAAACUGAUCUCAUGUUCAAGUGGAGUUUCUAGGUCGCAACAUGUUAUUUCACUUAAUGCAGUACUGUAAGCAUCACAAUGAUCAAGACUUAAUGGAUGGAAACUCUAGUAGUGGUAUUACAGAACCAAAAUGCAUGGAAUUUAUAUCAGCUUUAGCAGCUGGAAAGCGAGCAAGAUUAAUGUUGCAAAUCACAUCUCAAGGUGUGACACCGCUGACGGUUUCGCUGGCGGUGGCUGCAAAGUAAAGUGGAGGCGACUGAUCGUGUGCAGUAACAGCGACGACGAUGAUCAUAUGGGGAAGACUGGCAAAACCCAAAUUGUGGAAAAUGGUCCCCCAGUGACGUCGUUGAAUAUGUUUAUGACAUUGAUCCUUGUAGAAUAGUGAAGCAUUUCAAGAAUGUUGAUUUUUCCAGUUGUUGACUGCAAGGUUGAAGAUCACUUGAAA